CACGUAGGGGGGCGAGCGUUGUCCGGAUUUAUUGGGCGUAAAGAGCUCGUAGGCGGCUAAGUAAGUCGGGUGUGAAAACUCCAGGCUCAACCUGGAGACGCCACCUGAUACUGCUUUGGCUAGAGUCCGGUAGGGGAGCAUGGAAUUCCUGGUGUAGCGGUGAAAUGCGCAGAUAUCAGGAGGAACACCAGUGGCGAAGGCGGUGCUCUGGGCCGGAACUGACGCUGAGGAGCGAAAGCGUGGGGAGCGAACAGG
rnacentral:rRNA from 1 species